rnacentral:rRNA from 1 species
AGUGAACGCUGGCGGUAGGCCUAACACAUGCAAGUCGAACGGCAGCACAGUAAGAGCUUGCUCUUACGGGUGGCGAGUGGCGGACGGGUGAGGAAUACAUCGGAAUCUACUUUUUCGUGGGGGAUAACGUAGGGAAACUUACGCUAAUACCGCAUACGACCUACGGGUGAAAGCAGGUGAUCUUCGGACCUUGCGCGAUUGAAUGAGCCGAUGUCGGAUUAGAUAGUUGGCGGGGUAAAGGCCCACCAAGGCGACGAUCCGUAGCUGGUCUGAGAGGAUGAUCAGCCACACUGGAACUGAGACACGGUCCAGACUCCUACGGGAGGCAGCAGUGGGGAAUAUUGGACAAUGGGCGCAAGCCUGAUCCAGCCAUACCGCGUGGGUGAAGAAGGCCUUCGGGUUGUAAAGCCCUUUUGUUGGGAAAGAAAAGCAGCAGGUUAAUACCCCGCUGUUCUGACGGUACCCAAAGAAUAAGCACCGGCUAACUUCGUG